AUACUUGUAUUUAUCACCCCAUUGAUAUGUAAUUUCUACUGAAUGCUCUCAGAAAUAUAAGAUUUGGUUGUCAAUUGCACUGUGGGUGUGCUGAUCCCUUCAAUUUCCCCAAAUGUGGGAAACCCAAUUGCAUAAUUUGUGGUAGCGAGGGACUGCAUACAUGCUCUCUCAUG
ensembl:snRNA U1 U1 spliceosomal RNA